AGAUGGCUUUAAUCAGAAUGGAAUCAGUGCGUCAAUCAGUAAGGAAGUUUGUUAUUAGAAUAACGUAAAUUCGGUAUUAUGGUGAUCAAUUAUGAAUAACAAUUGUUUAUUUGUAUUUAUUACUAUAUUUAGUCACUUAUCCGUUUUCGCUGAGCAAAAUAUCGCUAGUUUUGGCCAUGGUGAUAUUAGAAAUGACCCGAAGAUAGAUGAAAAGCUAACUAAAAAUAUUGAAUUAGGAGAUCGUGUGGAAACAACGCCCAAAGAUCCCGAUUGGCGGGCUGAUAACUAUCAGUAUUAUGGUUCUGAUGAUUACAUAUCAGACUAUGAUGAAUUGGAUGAUUCUCAAGAAAGUAAGGAAGGAAUCAAUAGAGAUGGAAAUACAGAAAAUAAAACAUUACUAAGAGAUAUAUUAUUGGCUUCCAUGUCCAACACAGCGGACGAAGAACUACUGUCUAAAAGUAAGGACGAUAGUGAUUACUUGGAUUAUAGCAGGGAUAUAACAAUUUCUGGACGAAGGAAUAUGGAUUCUAAUGUUGUAACUGCUAAAGCAGACUCCGGUACUGACUCAAAUGUUCCUACAUUAUUACCAAACACAUAUCCUUUACAUCGACGAUAUUUUGCUCCAUUUCCUAAUCCAUGGAGAAUGCCAAUAACAAUAACCUAUCCAACGGCAAGAUUUUCAUCAGUAUUGAAAAACCCAUACAGUUUGGGCGCAACCACCACAGGCCCCAUCAGUUCCCAGGAUUACUCCAAUAAUAAAUACCCAUUUAUGGGUAAUAAAGAAUUUGUUUUUCAUCCAUUAAAGACUAUACGUACGCUGUUUUAAUUUUCUAAGGCGCUAAUAGCCGCAUCUUAGCGCAACCAUCACAUUUUUGUCAAUUUCUUUUAUUUAUUAGCGAAAAAAAAUAUCUGCCACUUUAAAAGUUUUAGUAGUAGAAAGUAUCGGUUUACUACAAAGCAAUGUCACUGUUGACUAAACGGAUUUUGGUGGCAACGAUUCGUUUUCGAUUUUGUUCAUUAAUAAUCUUAUUUCAAGUUAUUUGUUUUAUUGCGUAUUCAACGCAAUACGUCUCAGGGUGAAUUCCUCCUUCAAAUUUCAACAAAGACAAGAAUCUUUUUAAUAUCCUAAUUUAUGAAUAUAAUCUAUGUAAAAUUUUAUAUUUCAAUUUUAAGAUUUUAGAAUGGUUCUUUAUUUUGAAGGACGAAGGUAAUGACGGCGGUCAAAGUGCUCGAAAAUGCUUUCCUUCUGCUGCGCCUGACCCUGUAUUAAUGGUCCAAUCAACGGUAAAAUUAAAUAUUGUAGGUAUAUGAAUUUUGAAAUAGUAUACGCCAGACACAAUGCGCCUAGCGCAGUGAAAUAUGUUUUCUUUAUAAUAGUAUCUUUUACUUUAAUAAGUAUGUAAGUGUUCAUGAAUAAAUUUCUAUUAAUCUCA